GACGAACGCUGGCGGCGUGCUUAACACAUGCAAGUCGAACGGAAAGGCUCCAGCUUGCUGGAGUACUCGAGUGGCGCACGGGUGAGUAACACGUGGGUGAUCUGCCCUGCACUUCGGGAUAAGCCUGGGAAACUGGGUCUAAUACCGGAUAGGACCGCACUUUGGUGUGUGUGGUGGAAAGGUUUUUCUGUUGUGGGAUGAGCUCGCGGCCUAUCAGUUUGUUGGUGGGGUAAUGGCCUACCAAGACGGCGACGGGUAGCCGGCCUGAGGGGGUGGACGGUCACAUUGGGCUUGAGAUACGGCCCAGACUCCUAAGGGAGGCAGCAGUGGGGAAUGUUGCACAAUGGGGGAAACCCUGAUGCAGCGACGCCGCGUGGGGGAUGAAGGCCUUCGGGUUGUAAACUCCUUUCGCUAGGGACGAAGCUUUUUGUGACGGUACCUGGAGAAGAAGCACCGGCUAACUACGUG
rnacentral:rRNA from 1 species